rnacentral:rRNA from 1 species
AUUGAACGCUGGCGGCAUGCUUUACACAUGCAAGUCGAACGGUAACAGGUUAAGCUGACGAGUGGCGAGCGGGUGAGUAAUGCAUCGGAACGUGCCCGGUCGUGGGGGAUAACGCAGCGAAAGUUGCGCUAAUACCGCAUACGAUCUGAGGAUGAAAGUGGGGGACCGUAAGGCCUCGCGCGAUCGGAGCGGCCGAUGUCAGAUUAGGUAGUUGGUGGGGUAAAGGCUCACCAAGCCAACGAUCUGUAGCUGGUCUGAGAGGACGACCAGCCACACUGGGACUGAGACACGGCCCAGACUCCUACGGGAGGCAGCAGUGGGGAAUUUUGGACAAUGGGCGAAAGCCUGAUCCAGCAAUGCCGCGUGCAGGAAGAAGGCCUUCGGGUUGUAAACUGCUUUUGUACGGAGCGAAAAGGUCUCCUCUAAUACAGGGGGCUCAUGACGGUACCGUAAGAAUAAGCACCGGCUAACUACGUGCCAGCCGCCGCAGUAA